rnacentral:rRNA from 1 species
UACGAAGGGGGCUAGCGUUGUUCGGAAUUACUGGGCGUAAAGCGCACGCAGGCGGAUUUAUAAGUCAGGGGUGAAAUCCCGGGGCUCAACCUCGGAAUUGCCUUUGAUACUGUCUAUCUUGAGUCCGGGAGAGGUGAGUGGAAUUCCUAGUGUAGAGGUGAAAUUCGUAGAUAUUAGGAAGAACACCAGUGGCGAAGGCGGCUCACUGGCUCGAUACUGACGAUGAGGUGCGAAAGCGUGGGGAGCAAACAGG